rnacentral:lncRNA from 1 species
AGGGGUGACAGAGGACGUGGUCGUGGUGGGCGCUUUGGUUCCAGAGGAGGUCCUGGAGGAGGGUUCAGGCCUUUUGUGCCCCACAUCCCCUUUGAUUUCUAUUUGUGUGAAAUGGCUUUUCCCCGGGUCAAACCAGCACCUGAUGAGACCUCCUUCAGUGAAGCCUUGUUGAAGAGGAAUCAAGACCUUGCCCCCAAUUCUGCUGAGCAGGUAUGUGCUGUCCAUGGGCUGUGUUAAAAGUUCAGAGUUUCGGUCCCCAGCUCCGAAA